UCAUCAUCUGCAGAGGUCACCUUUAGAGAGGCUGAUGCUGACUGAGGCAAGAGCUUUCUAAGCCCUCUGAAUAGUGGAGGACUUCUAACUACCUGGAAUGCCUCUUCUCUGUUUUCCCUUUAAAAAAUCCCUUGUAGUUACUUUCUGAAUUGCUGGCUCCUUACACCUCCAUUCAGCACCCGGAUUUCCUGCUGCUCAGAACCAGUCCUUCUGAUUUUGAAUCAGAUAUAUUUUAAACACUUGUACACAUUCUCUUCUUCAGGCGCUGAAGAUUCACAACAUUUAUAACAAUUCAACUGAUAGUUGCAGUUUGACAGGAUUCUUAUGAUGGUUAUUUAUCAGAAACUUGAGAAGAUAUGAGGUGUCACUUUUCUAGUUAGCCAAUGAAUCUGCCUAGAAUGCUCAGGUAUCUGAGAUAGUGAUAUUUCAUCAGUGAACAUUUACACAAGCAACUGAGGAAAGGGAGGUGGUGCCCUUAACAGUCUAGCUUGCUUUGCUUUCACAGUUCUAAAUAGAAGAGAUCAGCUGACUAAGUGUGCCAAACAGCAUUGUGCAAUAUUCUGCUUCUGAUAUUGGCUAGCACCACAUUUACAGUAAGACACUUUACAACUGAGCUUGACAGUGAGAACUGCAGGAAAUAUUUAGGAGAUGGGCAGAUACAUAGCUGCAUCCCUAGUUUACCCUGGACUGUGUUAAGAGCACUUUCAAAGCAACUGAUUGAACUCGAGGUGUUCUGUUCCUUCAAACACGGAUGUAAACUAUUUUCCUGAGAUAAUUAGCUCUGAUAUUUCUCCUCCUAAGGAUAGCUUGAAAGCUGUUCGUGUUAUUGAGAAGAUUGUUUGCUCUGCAAAGAAAUGCCCCUAUGAAGAAAUACCACAGGACCACUCAUGUUGAUGUUAAACACAUUUUGUGGAUACAGUUUCAGAGCAUCUGAGCAUCUGCUGGUAAAGUUAAUCCGGUUCUGUCUGUUGACUGGCCAUACAGCACAAAGAUCAGUCUGGAUAUUCAACAACCAGAGUGGGGUUAUUUGUUGAAAGACAAGUGGAUCGGGAUGUAAGCUGUGGCUGGAUGUGGGAUGCACAGAGUGACAAAACCUCCAUCAAAGGAGCUCCUGCCAGUGUGGAUCCUGCUGAUCUGAGGAAAGCCCUUUAUUACCCAAAUGCAGUAAAGCUUGUUUACUAGCAUGGAAAGUUCAGCUGUGGAAGCACUACAGCGUCACCCAGUAUGUCCAGACAAAAGGGGAGAUGCUUGGCCAGUGUGACAGCAAGAUGCAAUUUACUGCUGGAACGUCUACAAGAGGGGAACAAAACUACAGCUGCUCAUCUUUGAUUGAGAUGAUGAGUGACAAGACACUGUUUCAGUGCUGCUGGAUGCAUUUGGUUUUCUUUCGUUCUUGCAAGUUGGGACCUUGCUACGUUACUGAGAAAUCCGCAUUUUACAAGAAGAUUGAAGAGAAACAAAAAGGCACAACGAGAUCAUCAUCUGGACAAAACAAAUGGGAGCCUUCAUGAAGGGAGCGCAACAGGGCUCUCGAAGUAACACCCCCUUACGGUGCUGCUGUGAGCCUCUGGCUCUGAAGAGUUCUUUUCUGGGAAACAGCAAGCAUUGAUCACUGUUGGAGGCAGUUUGCUGGACAAGGUAAUUAAUCUAGUUAAUUAAUUUUCUGAUCUCUGAUGUGUAUUUCUAGGCUCUGCCUUUUUGUUCGAUUUUGAAGAAUUCAUCAUUUGCAUAGAUGUUGCUUUAUAAGUUCUUUCCGUGUUGCUAACUUGUGGAAAAUGCUUGUUAACAUCUCUUUCCUCCCAGUUAUUGUGUGCACAUGAUGUAGUGUGAGGUUGCUAAUGGAGAAAACCCUUUCACAGCAUGCCACUGAAGGUUAUGCCUAGGAGCACCUUACUACCUCAUUCUUUCUCUGUUUUUCCAUAUGGAUGAAAAUGUUCUAACACCGCAUUAAAAAAAUUAAUGUCUGGAUGAAAAGUUCACAUUAUUACCACUAGCGUUAGCGUAUGGAGAUAGCUAGUUAAUCAUCAUAGACCAAAUGAGAAAUUCCUUUCAACACUGUUAGAAACCCCUAAGACUUUUUAUCUUUUCUUUAAGAUAGACAUUUGCCCUAGGCAGUGUGUUGGGAUGCCUAUAAUUUAGGGUUAUUAAAACAAGAGAAGUUUUAAUAAAAAUAUAUAAAAUAUAUAUAUAAAAAUAUAUAUUGAAAAAAUAUAUAUAUAUUGAAUUCAAUAUAUUCAAUAUAUAUAUUGAAAAAAAUAUAUUGAAUGAAAUUUUAUUUUCUUUAGGGGCGGUGGCAUUUCACUCGUUUGGGUUUUCUAAUGUGAACGCACAGUGUUGAGGGCUUUGUAAUUCAUUUUUACCCAGAAACAGAACUGUUUGCAUUGUCAUUAUAUGCUUAUGAUUAAACCAAUGUCUAGAAACCAAGAAAUAAAUUGAGUGCCAAGUGAAGAAAAUUAAGAAAUGAAUUUACACUAGUAUUUCAAUUGAUCUGUGUAUUCUAACGUGGGAAUUUAGGUUGGGCUCUGGGGAUCUUCAGUUACAGUAUGUGGUUAGUGAAAAUAGCCUUUUCCUUACCUUCUAGAGAAUGCCGUAAGCUGAUAAGAAUUGAUAUUGGGAUGAGAAUUUCCUUGCUGCUGCAGUGCAGACCUUGCACAGUUUGUUCAGACAGUAAUGGAAAAAAUCUGUUUUUUGUCUGUUAUAUUAGCUAUUGUCACUGCCAGAUUCAAGGUAUCAGUCUUGGUGGUUUGAUCAUCUCACUUAGCAAUAAACCUUAUUUUCUUGUCAUAUAUAUCAUCAUUGCAUCCUAAUUUAAUUGCUUACUUAGUAAACAUUUUUCUAAAGUAUUUUCCAUAUUUUCAUCUUUAAUUGGACUGUAGAAUGUUGACUGGUAACCAAAGUUACUUACGUUCCAUUGGAAUUCAAGAUGCAACUGCUACUGAUUUCAUCAGAGCAGAGCUUUGUUUUUGCCUGGGAAGUUAAGAGAAAUGGUUGUACUCCAAAGGAAGAAUACCUGCGUCUCACAGCCAACAAAAGUAGAACUCCAAAAACCAGGAAGUGAUUGGUUCAAUAAUUGGUCCAAUAAUGAGGAAGAAUCUAGAACUGAGAUCAGACCCCGUGAAAUCCAGGUGGGAAAGUACAUGAUGGUUAUCAGUAAAAUUGCAUUAGAGGCUUGACAUUCUCUUGCAUGUCUGUAAUAGACCUUGCUGAGACCUUCUGCAGUUUUUGGAGAGCCUGUCUGGAUGUCACAAACUAGGAAUAUUGGGUUGGACUAGAACAAAUAAUUUCUCUGUAAAUAACGGUGGUGUUGAAUAGUAACAUGCUAAAUAUGCAAAUAGGAUAUCUGUUUUUAAGGAAAAACACAGUAUGUGUUAGCUUUCUUUUAAAUUAAUUCAGCCCAAGCAUCUUUGGAGCUUAAAUGUAGUCCUCAGGAGAGUAAAUACUGCAUAAUGUGAUACGCUGGAAAAGACUUGAAAUGCACCUACUAAAAGCUCCUUUAACUGUUGCAGUCACAAAAACUCUGGCUGGUAAGUUCUACACCUAAUUUGCAAAGACUACAGCUUGCUGCUGAAAAAUUACUCCAAAUAGAAGGCUCAACAGAACAACAACAACAACAACCCUUUGCUGUUAAUUGCAUCAACACUGCAAGGAGAUUUAAUACCAUUUACUAAAACACAACACUUUAUAUAUUUUUUUUUCUGAAUCUGAUUCUUUAGCCUAUACAUUUUUGUAUAUUAGCUGAAAUCAAGGAUUCAAAAUAGAAUACUUUCAGGUUUUUAUAUUUCUGAAUAAUUAUAUUCUGUGUAAAUAAGACUGAAGAGUUUUUAGGGGUAUAGCAAGGUAUAAUUCAAGAAGUCCUAUCCUAGUCUGUUGGUUUAGUUAAUUGAAUAAUUUAAGCUUCUGUUUGUCUUUCUCUCUCCUGCGAUAUCAAACUCUUUUGUUUUUUUAUAUAAGAUCACAAUAACUUUGUGUUCUGAGCUGCUGGGCAGUUAACAAUGCAUAAUUAUAUAGCUGCAUAGUAAUAUAGCAUGUCUUAAUACAGCAAAUACAAAUUGAGCGUAUUUGCAUCCUGUGGGGUUUUGAAGUACAGAAGAAAUUUAAAUUCUUGAUAAAUUAAUCAUUUUGUUUUCUGUCAUGUGGCCCUGAUAAAGGAAAAAUCUGAAGAAUUUCUGAGGGGCAUCUGUUUCCCUAGAUACAGCUCUACUGCUGUUAAUAUCCCUGUUGUACAAAGAUGUCCUUGCCUAAUACAUAUAGAUUGAAAAUUGGGAGUGGACAUCAGAAGAAAACUGUGCACUGUUCAUCAUCAUUAGCUCCUCCUUUAUAAACUCAGGAAGCGGGCAUAUAAAAUAUGAACUAAACAGACUCUGUACAUAAGCCUCCCAUUUAAUUCUGCGUGCGGUCUGUACUCUGCAUUGUUUUAGAUGUGGUUGUAGGUAAUCAUUCAAGCUAGUGGUAGUAUUGCACAUCUUAUAGUGUCAUGAGAUAAAGGCAAGUAAGAAAAUGGAGAAAGGCGAUCCAGAAAAAGCCAACAUCUGUAGGAUGAACAAGAUGGAAACACAUUCAGUAACCUUAAGGUACGUUCGUUCUUUACACAGCUACACUGAUAUAAAUUCUAUAGAUUAAAUAGAUAUGAUCUAUUUAACACCUAUUUAAAUAUGAUGUGGCAUGCUAUAACAACUGAGUAGAUCAUUUGCUCCCUUCUAUCUUCCAUUUAUCUUCCCGCUAUAACUUUUGAAAAUUAUGUGCAUAGUAACUACAGUUGUCAGCAACAAACUUUACUUACAGCCUCUCAAGAUGGAAUAAACCACCUUCUCUGAACACUUCUGAAUGGGAAGAUUUCCUGCAGAAUCCUCUUGCACAGCCUGGAAUUGCACUUCAUUGCAGGUAAAAGCAAUGCAAUUAUCGCAGGGAGUUGUGACUUUGAGUGCGUACGAAUACAGGACAGUGCUGAGCAUGUGGUCUGCACAGCUUCUCCCUCCCAGGAGUCUGCGUGAGUUGCCCAUCCAUAUAGAUAGAACCUCUGCUUACCUUUAUGUAGCUGGAAGGUGAAUUAAAUUAGCAGAGCCUGCUGUACUGAAAAGAAUUGAACGUGGAACAGCCUUAGAACUAUUUGUUCAUUAGGUUUUUACCUCUCCCUCAUGUCCUUUCUCAUAACUCUUUUCCACAUAGCCCUCUCCUGACAUGCUUCUUGCAACAGCAAAUAAUGACAGCAGAGCAAGCCUGGUUAGAAGGAUAAAAAACAGUCCCAACCCCACUCAACUGAAGAUAAACAUGCAGUUCAUUAAGAUACUGCAAGUUAGAGAGCAACUGUGGAAAAAUAUAUUCCUUAUGCCUUUUUUAUACUGCUGGAGGGGCCCUAGUGUGCCAUUAGUAUACUUUCUCAAUUUUCUACGUAUAUAACUGUUGUCACCCAGGUGAUGUAUUUAGAGAGAAAUUUCACAUUAUGUCGCAACUGCCUUUCUAUCUGCAAUAAAGCUGAGAAAUCAGACUAGAAACUGAGGAAUUUCUUAAAAAUAAAUGCCUGGCUCCAGCAUUUAAAAUAUUCUAUUUCUCAGUACAAAUAAGAAAGUUAAUGGUAUCAGAUGACUGGUUCAGAAUGGCACAAUUUUGGCCUUAUGUGCUUCUCACUGAAAGGUAUAACAAGGAGUUAAACAUCUAGGGCCAUCAGCCUGCAUGACCUACAUCUCAGAGUACCUCGUCUGUCACAGGAUAGAUGAUGUAAGACAAUUGGUGCAGCAGUACUCCCAAGGACAGCAGAUUUACUGAACGUGUGGACAGCAACUGUUGUGGACAAGCGCUGUAGGUUUGGACGCUCCCUGCAAGUAUUGAUUUACAGGGGGGAGACCGCUGCUGCCACCACACUGCAUGUGCACCUGUUCCUUGCCAUAAAGAGCUCACAGGCUAGGAGCAGGAUUAAUCGCUUACUGCCAGGAUGGUAUCACAACCAAGGCCUUCAAACCAUGUAUCAUCCCAGAGUGACUGCAGUAAUUACAGUAAGUAAAUCUAGAAAAUACUGUCAUGAAUAAUACUCAAUAGGGAACACUGAGUGGCAAAUCUUUGUUUUUGCGUUCUUAAUGGUUCUUGAUGCCAGAACAGGUUUCUUGAUACCACGUAUAAAUUAGCAUUGUAGUAGAAUUCCCACCUCUUUGCUACCACGUAAUUCUUGCUCAUAACCUCACUGCUUUGUGUCAUUUCUGGCAAUUGCUUAGCUUUUUGCUAAAAGACCUAGUUUUGUUCUGAUUAAAUGAAUAAGUGGUGAGACACACAGAACUAGGUGAAGUGUCAAACCCCUCAAACUUACAGCAUUUAAGUAUCCCCCAAAUAAGCACUUCCCUAGGAGGAGGAGACUUGACAGACAACAUGACAACAGAAUUCUUGAACACUACCCAGUUAAUAAGAGUCUGUUUAGGACUAACUUACAUGAUCUGGCAUAAUUGCAGUUAUAAACACUCGAAGAAGCCUUGGAAGCACAAACGUCACUGAAGCGUACGUUGUAUUGGCUCUCAUUGCAUUUGGCAGCUGUACAAAGCUGUGGAGCAUGGAAACUUGCUCAGAUGGAUCCUGAUUAUACAAACACAGACCACAAGCUUUGAACGCUCAAUACAAUUUUGUUCUGUACAGACAAGCUACCACAAAGUCUCCCAAAGGCUUCUGUCCAGUCAACCAGCAUGAAGUACCUUAUCUGAAAAAAUGCAUUUUUCAAAAAGCUAUACAGCCUUUUAUCAGCUUUCCUCAGACCGUUGCUCCACCACAGACUAUCAUGGUACCUCUUAGGAUAUAGAGUGCAUUUCGUAAGACAACAAGAAAGUAUCCUCAUUCAAAUUUUAAGAUACAUCUCUGGAAUGCAGGGAAAAUACUGAUUCAAGUGUGGAUGAUUUCCUACUGAUUUUCCCUGCAUUCAUGUCUGGAAUGCAGGGAAAUUUAGAUCAGAUGGUUUACACUUCUCUGGUUUGGAAGUCAGAGAGACUUUCUCAUUUUCCUUCUGACUCAAUUCUCCACUUGCACUGCUGUAUUUUCAAAAUUAUUUAUAGCAUAAAUGCUACUAAUAACAAUUCUUGUCUGACCAGAGAAAGUCAAAGCAUGCUAACAGACAAGAGACAGUGCUAUAAAACAGCUAUUGCCAGCAUCUACAUUUUAAUGUUUCACAGACUUCAAGACUACAGUCAAUAUCAAUACUUACAGUCCUGUUUAUUUUCAGUUGUCCUGCUCACUGCGUAAUAUGGAAAAGAAAUACCAGAACUUUCAAAAUGUAAUAAAAAACCUAUCCUUUUCAGGCAUCUUCCAGAGCAUUCACAGAAAUGCAUCCUUUCCCCAGACUAACCUAGAGCUUUUCAAAUAGAAUUCAUCAGUUGAUCAUUCUCAUUAGUUUUCUUUUAGCUUACAGCAUACACCAGAGGCUGUGUACUGUGCUGUAUGUUGAGAAACAACAGCAUUUUAAUUAGCAGGAGUAUUAACAAAAUCCUUUUUGAACAUCAAACAUUUAAUUAUUUUAUUUGUCUCUUUGUUUCCUUAUGAUGAAUUACUAAUUAACUUUUCUUCUGGGUAGUAUUUUUUUGUAGAAGAUUUAAGCACAAUCUACAGAAUUGAGUUUCAUCUCCCACAGAAGGUACAGUGCUAUUAAAUGGAGUUACAGACAGACUACUUUUUUUCUUAUUAGUUAACUAAUUACAUCCUACUACUGCACACCAAAUGAGCUCUAAUGUACUGAGUAUGACAAAAUGGCAGCAGUAUCCUGGAGCAGAAACCAUUAAUUGUCACUAAGCAGCAAUCACUGAAUAUGUAGACACUACUGAAAAAUGUUACCAAAAGGCUACCUAAAGAAAUAUGUUAAUUCUGCAUUCAAAAAAUGGUACCAAGAAAUCAGGUUCAGAUACGGCCAUAGUGAAACAUCCCCAAAUUACCCUCAUCCCCUGGCAAGAUAAUUGUUAAAAUUUGAGAGAAGAAAUGAUUAAAACUUUGCCCUUAAGAUAACAGAUGUGAAAGCUGGGAUAUCUAUCCAGAUUAGGUGUUCAAAGUCUACUACUUGUGAGUUACCUUUUAAAGACAAAUAUCUGAGUUAUGUUCAAGUAUAAGCACAAAUUAUGAUAACAGUAUGCUUUACUGAUCACCAUUCAAAUGGUCUUUGCACAAUAAUAUAUAGAGGUUAAUCUGUACCACCAGUGUCCCAAUAUACUAAACAAUAACUCUUUAAGUCAAAGAAAAAAAAAAACCUGAUGAGCUAGCCAAAAAUACAUUUGCAAACAUGGAUGUUACAGAAGAAAUUAAAUGCAAGGAUAAAAUUUCCAUAAUGUUGGGCCUCAGCCCAAGGGCUUACAUAUCACUAACUUAGGUUUUGGUGAGAAAAGACGACUGUGCCAUAUUUCACAGAAAAGGAGCACUCAACCAGAUGCAUACAGUCAAAACUGGAGAGGAGAAAUUGUGACUAUUCAAACUAUUCAGCUAUUGAAUUUUGUCCAGGAGCUAAAUCUAGUAUUUGUUUUUAGAAAAUAUUGUAAUCUUAUUUUAUUUGUCCUAAGAAACAGGUAAGACAGUACCUGAUGUGCUAACCAUCUUAGUUCUUACCUUUAGAAAGUCUUAUCCUCUUUUGAAAGAUCAAAUUUGACUAUCUUUAGCUUCCAGCCACUGGAACCUGUUUUGUUUUCAGGAUAACCUGUCUCCCUCUGCGGAAAUGCUGAUGUGCUUUUGAGUCACCCUGCCACAUCCUCUUAGCUAAACUGAGUAGCAAGCUCUGUAAGCAUUAUAUCACAAAGCAUGUUCCAGCCUCAGUACUUGCAGAACUUUUUCUUACAGUUCUCCCUUAUAUUUCUAAAUCAUCUGUCAAGUAUGGGCACUAAGCCUGGUCUCAAGUGUCUCAACAUUCCCAUCACUGUGAAAUCACUUCUCAGCUUUUAUGUGCACUUUUUUUUUUUUUAAUCAAAAACCAAGGAAAGAAAAAAAAGAAACUUGCUCCUCACAAGACGAUCAACUGCAACCCAUUCUUUCCUGUUCUGAGUUGCUACUUCCAAAAAAAUUACAUUUAAAAGCUUUACCCUUCCCCUUCUUAAAUAGGUUAGCUUGCAUUUGACUUUACAAAAUCACUUCUUUUUAGAUUGGGUUCAUUCUAUAACAGUAAACAUCUUAGAAGCUUAUUAGUAAAUAAUGUACUGACACCUCUAAGAACAUAAUAAAAGUUUUGUAACCUAUUGAGAGUUAACAUAGAAAUUAAAUGUAAACAUAGCUUCCCCACACUGUGCAAAGAAAAGUCCAACCUAACAAGGAUGGUUCUGGUUUGUUGGUAAACUGAUUAUUCACACUUCACAUACAGAAACACAGUUUUCUGAACCUUCUGUAAUGUUUGUUAAGAGUUACCUGAGUAAACUGCCAGUAAAGCUUCAUUCUCUUGGCUUUGGCAUAAUUGCAUUCAAUGAGCCUGGGCCUGCUGUUCACAUCCACCAGGCAUCUGUUGUCAUCAUCGUCAAUAGUGGGACUCAGAACACCCACAUGGAGCUGCUGAUUGCUUGUGUAAUAAACAUUCUGCAAGAAGAAACACAAACAUGAUUUGUGGCCUCUAAAAAGAAGCAGCACUUUCACCAAAAACCAAAUGGCAAAUAUAAAUGUACUGAAUAGCAGUAGGCUGACCCUAUGGUUGCUUUUAAAUUGUUUCCAUUCAUACAGGAAGCAACAUAACAUUUUAAGAUUAACAGUUAACCAACAAACAUUGUUGGUAAUAGUUAACUACUGAAUUUAGUCUCCUAUUCAGUCUGGUUCAGUCUGAGUGGAUCCUGCAGGGCAGAAGCAAAAUGAUGGCCCUGGCUGGGUAAACUACCUUAAUCUGUUUGUUGGCAAAACUUCACAGAAAUAGGACAAUCAAAUGUAAUCAUGCUUAGCAGAGAUAAUAAGCAGGUUGCCACUUACCUUUCAAACAGCUCAACCUACCCAAUAACAUCACUUCACUUAUCAGUGUCAACCAGUUCAGAAAAAUAAGUGUAAAGUCUUGUAUUCUCAAAUACCACGGGGACAGGCAUCUUUCAGCUUAUAAUCAGCAUGGAAAAUAAACUCAAACUGAAGCUGACUGUGAUGGUUAUUACUUCUAACUGAGCUAUUUCAGGAUAUAGCUUUGCUUAUCUAAUAUUAUGGAUAUUAUUAUAUUACCAUGAAUAUAAUUACUAUCUAUUAUAGUACUACUGUAUAUUAUCGUAUCUUAUCCAAUAAUAUCUCAUCAUCUUCCAGAAUAGAACCCAUUAUGCACAGUAUUUUCAUUACUAUGUUUAUCCAAUAAUUCUAUCACAUUAUAAGCACACAACUUGUUCAAAUUCUGCUUCAGCUGCUAAUGAACAGUAAGAUACUGGUUUGUGUAGCUCACCAGACAGCUUUUCUGAAAACUAUGAACAACCCCCAGCUCCUUUACCCCAGCCCCGGAAUAGGAGAGUCCCGAGGUACCAUCUCACAAUGUACUUGUUAGGUAUGCAUACGUGACUUUCUAUUAAUCAUCGUUUAAAUUGACCUGCAGUAUGAAAUGACCUGUAAUAUGAAAAAAUAUUACAUAUAAAAACCAUGCUUGCAUUUCAUUACUUUCUAUGUAGCCCUAAUAAAAAGGAGCAUGUAAUUGUAAUUUAAAUAAGUUAUUAUAAAGAUGAAUCUCCAUAGCAGCACUUAUUCAGGAAGAAGAUACUUUUAACAAAUAUUAUCAAUUAUGCCAUCCAGUCUUAAGUACAAAAUGGACAACGAAGUAUUUUUGUUUCAAACACUUCAGAAUACCCAAGCAAAACACCUUACCAGCAAUUCUGCUCCUAAAAUACUGCAACAUCACCAUCAACUAACCCAACUGGAUAGAAAUGUUGAGAUAAUUCAGAAGAGUCAUUUUUGAACAGUUGCUCCGGUACUAAUUAGAGUUUUGAGACUUCGAGUUUUGUUCUGCUAAAACAGCAAAUGUCUCAAUAGUCUUUGUUCAAGGGACUGGAAAUUGGUAGCUAAAAAUGUGCUUAUUUCCACUGAAGUUAAAACACUGGCUGGCUGCUGAUGGAGAGAGCUUUCAGUCAAAGGGUCUUUGCACUUUUACUCAUGAAAUGAAAGCCUCAGCCAAAUACAACCAUGCAUUUUCACACCAGCAGCACACACACCUAUUCCCUGCAGAGCUGCUGAAUUUCCACAGAAAUAGCCUUGUUCUGAUAUUGGGAUCAGAGUAGAUGAUUUAAAAGAAAACCACACAAAAAACAGUAACACAAAAAACAAUAACACAAAAAAACCAACUCUCUUAUUCUAUAAUAAAAUAAGCUUCCUCCUUACAUCGCAUUAAUCUGCUAUAACCCACAGCACUUUACUAUCCGUAUAUUUUUUCCCCGUAAUAGUACUGAUGCACUGCUGUGUCUCCCGGGCAAUGGGAAGGGAGCAUCAUUUUCAGGAAGUCACAUAGGUCAAGAAAAGUGAAACUGCAAGGAUUCAGCGUUACCAUCAGUUAUAAACUCACAGGAUUUGUGACUAGACAGGUCUCAGAGCCAAAACACAGCCUGAGCCUUACACGCUUGCACAACUCUGACCACAGUCCCCCCAGAUGCUUUCAAGGUAGAAGAGUGCAGCUUACACACAGACAGGUUGGCCCUGGAGGCUGCCGCUUCCUUCCUGUGUUCCCUGCCCACACAACAGGUCCAGCUGCCUUCUAGAAACAUCCUCAGAAAGCCUAGGCUGGCAGCAUAUUAAAGUAGUGCAAAAGAAUUUGUUCAAAACAAAGACUUGGUGUUAUUAGUGGAAAUGUUUGCAGAAAGUAAGGGAUUAAAUUAGCAGAAGCCUACAUACCUGGUGCUGAAGAAAAGUACAUCAGUUGCCUUCAAAGCUUGACAUAUAACUCUGCCCAAAUCUUUCUGUUUCACUUCCUUGGCUUUUUUCUUUUUUGUUUGUUUGUUUUUAAGAACAGCUUCAUAACUGAUCAUAACUAAUUUUCAUCCGGACAGUAAGAGUUGGUAUAGGUGUUUUUGUUUGUUUGUUUGUUUUUGUUUUUUUCUGAAAAAGCUUUUCCUGCAAUUUUCUUCUUGCCAUGAAAACUAUAUCUUCCACUUAAAGGAAGAGUUAUUCCUUAGCUUUCUUUAUUUUCCUAGAAGGUCACUACUCUAGGGUCACUGCUUCAGUUCCUGUUUUUCUACCUCCUACUACUCUGAGUAUCCAUAUUAAGACAAAUAAGACAAGCAAACUGUGAUUGGUACCUGUCAUGGAGUUAUCUAGAUAGAUCUGUGCCCAUAACAGGGGGGCAGUAGGCUCGUGGGCCCCCCUGGCUUGCCGAAAAAAAUGGAGCAGCGGCAAUGAUCUAAGUAGGAGAACUUAUUUUACUAACUAUGAUGUUGGAAUGCAAGAUGACGAUAUAAUACAAUCUAAUUGAAAGUAAGGAUAAUAAAGCAAAUGAAAUGAGAGAGAGAAAGAGAGUUUCCAAAAUGGAAAGCCCUACUUGAUGAAGACGCACAGCUUGGAAGCACACCCACUCCUCUCCCUGGCAGCAAGCGAAAGUGAAAAAAGACCGCGCGCAACCAGAUGACGUAUCUUCCGCGAUGUAUCUUCCUUCUCUGACCGUGAGGUCCUCUGGGAUACGUAGUUGUUCUUCUCUUUUGUCCAUGAUGUUAUGAUGUGGAAUACCAAUAGCAAAAUUACAAAACCAUGACAGUACCACGUUAACAGGACUAAUGAAAUGUUUCCCAGGUUCUUCAUAAGGUCAAGAGAAAGGUUUAGUCACAGUAUGUUUGUUACAUGUUCUAAACAUUUUCUGUCAAAGAAGACAGCUAAAAUAUGAAAACACAAAUGAGAGGUAGUUAACAGCUGCCCAGCCUAGGACUCUCAAGACAUCUUUAAAAUAGCUAUGAAUUAUUAGGGAAAAUUCAGAAUCCUAUUUUUCCCACCCCCCUUUCAGGUGAACUGAUUUGCUGUAAAUUAUAUUUUUCUAUUUUAUAUUCUAAGUCUAAAAAGAUCUGCUUGAAUAUCAAUACAAUACUGCAAUGAAAAGAAAAUACUGCAAUGAAAAGAAAAAUUUGUAUACAAUUCUGCUACUCAGACCAGCUCCAGAACAAAGGAGAAGCAGCUCCACCCUUUAUUUACCACUGGACCAAGCACAUCCUUGCUCAUUUUAGGGGAAAUUAAGGAUUCCAUCUCUCUUGAUCCAAAUUCAUGUAGCAAAUCAGCAUGGAAGAGGAAUAGAAGAGUUUAUGCCUGGAGUUGCAGUCUCCCCUGCUUCUUAAUUAUUGCAUUCAGAGCAGAAGUUCCUUUAACUCUUCUGUUCCACAUCAUCUCCUCCUUGACAAACUCCGCUUUCAGCUGUAAUCUUAACAUUUCACUUGUACAGCCAGCCACCUAACUGCCAAAAAAUAUUCACCCUCUGCUAAGCUACACUCACCAGGAUACACAAGUGCACAGCACAUGCAUGUGCUGGAGGCAUAAAGUGGGCAGAGCAAAAAGAUCUAUGUAAGAAUGCUCAACAUCAGCAAAGACCAUUUGCUAUUUAUGAAGGUUCGGGCUGGCAUAAUGCCCACUGAAUCUAGCCCACGCAUCUAGCUGGUACGUACCUCUUUGCUGAUGUUAGAGCUUGUCUGACUAGAGUUGGCUGCUUCUGUUUACACGGCAGAACCACACAAAGCUCGCUUGCAAAAUCCCCAGGUAGUUCUGCAGUUCCGUCAUGAGGCAAUGAGGCUCUGUUGAAGCAGCCAGUGGCCAAAACUGGGGACACACCUCAGUGGUACAGCUCAGCCAGCAAGCCAGGGUCUGGCAGACUGGAAGCUGCUGUUGUCUUUUCUAGAAAAUUACCGACUGGAUUUCCAUUGCCAAUUUCCUGUAGAGCUAGAAUGAUGUAGAACUUUGGUAGGAUACUCACAGCAUACGUACUUUGCUGCAGAGCUGCAACCCAGAACACAUCCUAAAUCUGCCAUCAGAGCAAUGAAGGCACAAGUUAACUCAGUCAAGUUUUCUUGCACAGUAAAAAUACUUCAAACACCACAAAAUCAGCGUGCGCGCACACACACACACACACACAAACACAAAUGAUAGCUCGGGUACAAGAGUAAAUGAGCUUUGCUUAUUAGGACACAAAUAUAUUGCUUUGUCUUCACAACGAUGUGGUGUGGAUUUUCUGUUCAUGAGCAUUUUGCCCUAAAAGGUCAAAUGGUUAUUUCCAUUGCAAUUAACACUGAAAUUCCACUGACUGUAAGUGCAAUAAGAUUUUUGGCUCCCAGUUUAUUAUUAAAUUUUGAAGAGCCCCCAGAGCUGACAAAGACCUCAGAGCUGAACUGGGUUGCCAGUUCCAGUAAAUUAUUCAUAGGAGUCGGUUUAUCAUGUUGCAAGAAAUUUAGCAAGAAGUUACAGUAAGAUGCUCAACUUAACACACGACAAUUAUCUGAAGGAUAAAUUGCCAACUCCCAAAGGAAUUUUAAAGCAAUACACACCAAUUUUCAGGCUGAAAGCCAUUUGUAAUCCUUAUGGCAAUGUUCCCAGAUGAAAUCGCUCUGGAGAACUGUACAUGACUGUGCAUUUAUAAUGAGCAAACUUAAUGCUCACCAACAGCAGUAUUUGUUACCCUGCUUUUGGCACAACGACUACGAGGGAUAAGAAGCCCAAUUCCUCACUUCUUUAUUCCAUCUUUGACCUGUAACUUUUUUUCAGUUGAAUCCAUUAAGUCUUUUACUGUUAGGAGUAAUAUUAACAUAUUACAUCAGAAGUUUCACAGCAGAUUCAUACUGGAGUAUAACUCCAGCUAAAGAGCAGUCUGGUGGAUUCCAGUAAAUCCAGACUUAGUUAUGUUAUCUAGAACGACUGAUGCUCAAAUAUUUACACUGUUCCUGACUUUUUUCUUCCCAGCAGUACCUGUUAAAUAAAUGCACCUCAAAGAAAGAACCUUGCUUCUCCAACAAGAAAACUCUCCACAGAAUUCAAGUUCAUUAUGAAUAACACAAAUAUAUCACUAGGAUGAAAAUCAAGUGUUUUUCUAUUUAUUAUUCAUGUGGGAAGAGCCUUCUUGCAGAAACCCUGCUAUAAAUAUCAACUAGUCAGGGAAGAAUAGCAUCCAUCAGCAGCUGCUAUUUCUACAAGCUAGUAAUUUCACAUGGAGCAGAAUUACUCUUUUUAGGCACAGCUGGCAUGGUAUUAGAAACAUGAAACUGUUGUGCAAAAUUAUGCUUUGGAACAUACCCUUAGAUACUUAUACCCUGGUUACUGAGGGCAUUUAAACAAACAUCCUUGUUCUGCUUAAUUCUCCAUCUUAAAUACACAGUGACCUUCACAAUUUUUUGUCAAACAGGUGUGUAUAAGUACCCAGAUGUACUUAUACAUUAAUUUAUAAGACUUGUUCUGGGUCAGACACCCAAAGAGUUAUCCUUUGCAGUUCCACACACACUUCACAUGACGUAACUGGAGAGAGAGUCACUGUGGCUACGGGACAGCACAGUCACUGUGUUUUGUGCUACCCUAAAAAUCCUACCGUUGAAGGAGUACAAACGUAAGAACACAGGCUGAGAAUUACCAAAACAAUUCAGAAAUGUUAGUGACAGGCCGGAUUCUAGAAGAUUCAUGUUAUUUUUCUGAGGUAGGUUUUCAGUGAUUACAGCCUCGUUAUGCAACUUUGAAACAAUUACAACCAUGUUUUAUUCAAGUCAAGGUUCAGUUCACUCCGAAACUUGUCUUACUGGUGAGCUGACAAACAGCUGUAUACCAACGGUAGCAACAAUACCAAUCAAGACUAAAACAAUAAAGCAUACAGGAAGGGAAAUACUCACUACUUCACUUCAACCUUCAGAUUUGCAUCUACUGAGUUAGCCCACCAACAUACUGGUUACUUGACGUACUCUCCUUCACAUGCAUACGCUAAUUAACUUUCAAACUCCAAGCAACAAUAUUGAUUACAAUAAAGCCAAGGUGCUCAUGAACUUUAAAUAAUAUAGUGUGAUGCUUAAAGCCAGAAAAAAAAUGUUAACAUAUUAUUUUAAUAGAAAAAAGACUGGAAUUCAGAGUCAGAUUUUGUCUUUUUAAUUUAAAUUCAUGAGCCUAUAGUUUAGUGGAAUGCCUAAUGCUGCUGUUGCCUACUCUGGCAUUCUACUUUGAUUUUAUUUAAAACAACAUCCAAAACUCUUCUUUCUUAAGAUCAACUUUUAAAAUUGAAUAGAACUGCCAUUCAAUGCUUUUAUAUAUACUUUCAAUACUGACUUCCAUAGUUUUCCUAAUGCUGGUAACUACCGAAUUAACAAGACCCGUAUAAAGGAAAAUUUUGCUUGAUUUACUCCUUAAAGCUACUCUUUGUUUUGCUCUAAUUUCUGCAGAAGAUCUCUACAAUUUCUACCAAGAAAACAAAAACAAAAAAACCAUCCUAUGAUUCUGUCCUACCUGAAUUUUCCCUUUCAGUCUCCCAAAAAUUCUCUACUUACUUUUCAAAGCUUUCUUUGCAGGCUCCUACAGAAUCUUAGCCUGUUUUCUUCUCCAUCAACAUAUAUUCAUCUGCAGACAAAUUCACUGUCCCCCGAUGCACCUGUCCAUCCUUGGCAGUUGAGUUUUUCUCUUUUCAUAAAAGGUCAAGGUGUCGUUUACAUUUCACUAUAAGCUUGUGCUUGAUUCCUUUAACAGAUGAGGGCCUUUUGCAUAGCUAUUGAGUGGACAGGAGUGAAAGCAACUAUUUGGACACUGCAGCUUUCAGUUCCUUGGGAACAAAGGAGAGUUACCCUUGUGUACUCACUCUGGAGCACGUGGAAGUACUUCUGCUUUUAAACCAAGUUAAACAAAAAAACUGAAAAAAGAAUUUCUGAUGAUUUAAAUAGACAACAUGAAAGUCAAAGCAAAUCCUCUUAUAAACUAGACUAUAGAAAAUGAAAACAUUAUUUCUUAGCUGUAGAGGAUGUAUUUCAGGCAGCAAAGUCUAUCACUUCAACUGAUACUUUUCAGUCUUUAUUGUUGGUGUCUAUGUAGAGACUCGCAGAAACUCAUGAAAUUUUAUCCAAUCCAACUGCAUCCUGAAAGGAAAAUAUCUUUCCUGAAACAUUUUUAAGUCUUCCAAGGUUAAAUGGAGAUAUAUACAUGCAGCCUAAGUGGAAUACAUCUGAAAAAUAGCACUUUUCCUGCCUACCAAGUAUCCUGAAGUAGUGGCUCUAUUGUUUGCAGGGUGGUGACAGUGAAUGAUAACCAGAGAGAAAGAAGUCAGCAUCUAGAAUUUAAAUGAAAAGUCUGUAUAUCUUGACCUCCUGCAAAAACUAGCAUUGAUCUUGCCUGUGUUCAUGAAUAAAUUGCAAAGUUCACAAAGUUCUGCAAGGAAAAUUGAAACGUGCCAGACCAAAAUACUGCACUCAUGCCCCAGACAUUGCUCCUUCCCUCUGCUCCUAUUCUCACCAAGGAAAGACAGAAGGUGACAGAAGGGAGGUGGACAUCAGAAGCAGCUGUACAUAAAGAUUUCUUAUCACAAGUGCUUAAUAGUCAUUUAAAAAACUUAACUAGAAACAAGCAAACAAAUAAAGCUGUAGAUAAGGUAGAAAACUGUUUUCAUAUCAAGCAGGACAUUAAUGCCCAUUCUAUUGUCCUAGCUGUAGGAAGCCUUACUGUGCUUUACAUAGUGAGCUUCAGUUCUAUGACUGUCAGUUCUGUACUGUGCCUCUUGCUUAAAUCAAGCUGUAAACCUUGGCAAGAAACAAUACAGUAAAUACUCUGAUAUGCAAAAGCACAUUGCUUGGUUGUACACAAAUAGUGCAGUGCCUCUCUCACUGCUUUCAUUCAUCAGGGAUUGCCUUCUGGGGCCUUCAGUCACUGUGAAGACUCACAUACAGACUCAGGCCUUACAGGUAUUAAUACACAGAACAAGUAGAAGAGGCUCAGUAUUUCUGAGUAAACCCUUACCAGGUGGAUGAGUCAGCAAAGAAAAACCAACAAUUCAAAAACCAAGUUGUUUGAAUGACCUUCAAGUACAACAGAGAAACCUCCAGUGAAUAGCUACAAGAGGUAUGCUAAGCUUCAGGCUGCUAAAGUAUCACUGGGCUAUGAGGAUAAACUGUUUCCAUCACAAAAGGCAGAUUAUGUCUCAGAUUUUCUGCUGCAUUUUCUGCCUGUCUUGGGAGCCUUUAUUUUAUUAUCAGAAGUAGAUUAUCCUAUAAAGCUAUCUGCAGGAGAGAGACAAAGAAAAAUCCCUCUGUCUUGCUGUUUAGACUUAAUAUGAAAACUAGGCACGUAAGUCCCUCGUAAUUAAAAGUCACUGGUUAUACACAAUAAGACAGUUCUUUCAGGACUCUUUUAAGUAAAUUAAUUUUGUACAACAUCUUUUUGAUUGUUCUGAAACAGCAACAAUUACUUCUUUUAGCACUUCCUAGUUUGCAUAUGAAUAAAAACACUAAGAUGAUUACAACUGUCUAUUAUACCAUACACUGUUGAGUGAUUUGUACUAUUUUGCAUAGCUGAUUCUCCUCAGAGCUCAAAUGUGUGUCACUGCAUGGGCACUCUAGGGCCAGACCCUUUCCUCCUUCUCAGGGGAUCUUGGGCCUUGACCAUGACAAGAAGAAAACACAGGUACUGAGGAAACACAGCACUGCAGUCCUGCACCAUGUACUCUUUCCAUCCCAAUAAGAAGGAGGGGAGCAGCCCUCCUAAUUCCCAGACUCCCAGCUCCAAGGCCCACACAGGCUGUGCUGAAGCUUAUCGAAGAGACAAUUUGGUACUCACAUUCUCUUCUUUCUGCAACUAGUAGGAAGCUAGUGUGAAUUCUGGAACCAACAACUAUGUCUUGGGCACCCAAUGUAACAAGUGACUGCAGACUGUGGGAUCUGCACUUUCUUGCGGUAGGUUUUGGAAACCCUACCAUUCUCUGGUAAAGAGGUGCUGACCUCACACAUUUUGAAAGGUAUUGGAUUUCUCCACAAGAGAAAGAUUUCUGCUACACUUAAUCUCUGCUUACAAUGAGAUAACUAAACAGAAAAACCUAUUUUGCUGAGUAGGUUUCUCUGUACUGCACCUGCUAUGUUGAUCCAAAUGACUAUAUGAGGAACUCGUGAUUUAUGUAUAGCAAAAACAUGAAAGAGCAUUUGCAGAUCUCAGUUUAACUCCAAGCCACCUUAAUUUUGUUUAACUUUUCCCUAAGAACAAAACCAGAUUGGAAUAAAAUGCCAUAUUUUCAGUUAACAAACUACUUGUCCAGAUGCCUCCCUGGUAUGCAUCUGGAGGACAGGACUACAUAUCCUUUCUCAUUUUGAAUUUAUUGUUUUCUUCCUUUUACUUGCUCCUUUCAAAACAAAACAAAACAAAACCGAACUCACCACCGUUGUCAUCCUCGUAAGUAAAGCUACAGGGGAGCAACUUGUUAGCAAAAUUCCAGUACAGCUCAGUCCAUGAUUUGUAUUUGUCAGACUCACAGUAGAGAGGAAACUUGGAGGGUUACAAAUUACACUAACAUCUUAUUGGAAAUUCUAGAUGAAAUCUCAGGUUCUGCUUCAAGCCAACAAAGCUCUUUCUUUGGGAACUAAAUUGAACUGGCUCUAAAAGCAGGUACAAUAAAAUUUUAUUCUUGUAACACUCAAAGAACUUGGGAGAUGAUUGGAAAGCUCAGGUGAGAAGCUACAUCCUCAUCUGAGAUACUGAAUCAGACUAAUGUACCUGACCCUAAUACAGCAUUGAACACAGUCUGAAAUGUUACAGUCUGAACGUAGAGAUUUAUUGUAAUUUUGUGCUUGUAGUCAUUGAAGGGAAGAAAAAUGCUUUGAAGUCAGGGCAGAAAAACAAUCUGAGUCCAUGUGGACCUAUCUGUUUUUGCAUCAAAAGGAAAUGAAAAGCACAUUCUCAUAUCUGAUCCAGCUUACCAGCUUUUAUUCUACAAAGCCAAAGAGUAAGCUCUGCCAUUUUGUAUGAUUAAAUCUUUUUGCAUGCUGAACUACUCCUAAACAGCCUUUUAAAUGUACAUUAAUGUAGGUUUUUCACUCAGUUGUUCUAUCUUUGGGUAACAGAGGUCAAAUUCUGACAUCUUUCCCCUAAGCAUCUUUUCAUAAGUACAGAGCUUGUCUGUGCAAAGGAAUCUUUUUAAUCAACUGGUAUUUCUUACAUUAUUUCCAGUCACCUUCACUUGUAAUACAAAGUGUUUCUUAUUCACAAGAGUACUAGCCUUUAUUUACAUUAGGCAUUUUCUUCCCUCAACAAUCAACUUAAUGUUAACGAACUCAUACUUGUUCAGAUUUCAGCAUCUAAAAGUAUGUAUAUUAAAUGAGUUCUCACUUAAUAAAAUUACUACUGCCCUUAUGUUCUCUAUAGCACAUGGGUUACCACACUGCUUCCUGGUUGUAAAAUAUGUCUCUCACUCUCUAAAGCUGCAUUUAAAACCUGAUUCAUGUUUCAUGGGUGUUAGCCAGGUAGCCUUCACUUUGGCAUGGACAAAACUCCUUGGGCCAGCCAAAUUAGAAUUUACAGCUUUUACUCAUUGUCUACUGAACCUAAAGUAUUCAGAGUUUAUACUUCACUAAUAGCUUGGGAGCUUCAUCACAAUUACUGUAUACACUACUGAAUUAUAUAGUUGCUACUGAAGAUGAAACACUUAUGGGUUUUAUUGGUUAAAGUGAACUCAUUUGCUUAAUGUGUAAUUUGCUCACUUUAAUUAGCUAAAAAACAGCUGUCAGAAAUAUCCUGGUUACCAGAGACCAUGGAAUGGUUUUCCUGGUAGGAACUUUCUUUCAGCCUCGACCAAACAGUCAUCAACAUCCAGAUUCCUCACAUUACAAUGUUUCUUCACAUGAGUUAUCAGCAAUUAUAAAAGGAGACUGCAGUGGGCAGAUUUAUCUUUAAUUGAAAGCAAGCUAUAGAGGUUAUUAAAAAUAUAUUUGGAAACCAGAAAUGGGCAUUCUGCAGCAAAUGGUUACGCUAUAAUUAUUCAGUAUGCCUCCCACUGAAAGUGGAAAAUGAGGUACUUCAGAAUAUUAACCAUGUACAUCACACAUUGGGCAGAUUACCUCACUUGACAGUCGAUACUUAAAUUUGCCUUGAGUGCUCAAGAAGUUCCCAAUUCUCACAGUGCAUCGUUAUGCAAACACUUAAAAUUUCUCCUGUAACAUGUGAUAUUGAAUUUAAAAAGGCAGUCUAGGAAAAAAGGGAUCUGAUUGUUUCAUAACUUCUUAAAAAGACGGAGUUCAUAGUGACAAGCAAAGGAUAAAUCUGAUGUUUAAAUAAAUCCUAAUAAUAGUCAAUCUCAGUUUUCUCUAGAUUUUGACUUCACGUUAUUUUAACAAACCCUGUGAGCUGAUAAGCUGCAGUGCUAUUUUUUCCUUCCAAAAUUAAUGCCAUCAGCAAGUGAGUCAUGGAAAUCUCAAAAUUUUAAGGCUAAUUUCAGAGUUUGAAAUCACUAAAUAUAUGCUGAAUGCAAUAUGCAUGCUGAACAAAUCACCGCAUCUUUAGCAUAAAAAGAGCAAUGAAGCUCCAGUGUUCACAAUCAGUGCAGUUCCAAGCCAAAAAAAGUUAAUAUUGUAGUCACAUCUGAAAGAUUUAAAUGCAUUCAUCAGCUUUUUCACUUGGUACGGACAGCCAUUUGAGCAGAUAGGCUUGGCAUAACAGAGGUAUUCCUGUAUACUUUGUUUAAUCAACUUACAAAAAAUAAAAAAGGAAGGAAAAGGCCAUUGAUUUCCUGAAUGACAAUUACUGUUAUUUCUGAAUUGAGAAUUCAGGGAAAGGUCCUAACUACCAUCACCACUUAGUUGACAUGUUAAUAGAGUUGAUAACAAAAAAAGGACUACUAGUUGGUGGUUGUAUUUUUUUUUUUUACUCUUCAAUAUGCUACAGGCUAUAUCCUUCCACCUGCUUACCUCUAAGCUCAGUAACUUUUAAUUUAUUAUAUUACAGUUUCCAAAAUGCUCUCAGCUUUGCUGACUCCAACCACUACUGUCAAUGCUUGUGAUAGCUAAUCAUCUUCUUUUAUAUGACUAUGUAUCUUAUUUCUAAUCUGGAUCUAACUGGCUGUAAUUACUAACCAUUGGCUCUUGAAACAAUGCUAAAAUAAAGUCUUACCUUAUUAAAGUUUCAUAUUUCCUUAGAAAAGUCCUUCUACUCUGUAAAUGUAACCAUACACUGAAGUCAGUUCUUGCUAAGCGCAGUAUGACUGCUGAUUCCAAACAAAUUAUUUGUCAGACACAGCUCUCAGCUUACAGAUUGAUGAUGACUUUGUUUCCAGUUAUUUGUAAGUAUUCAAUCGAGAUUUUACGUGAGGAAAUAAUUUCUCAAUAUUCUUUCCACUUCCUGAUUGGACAAAGAUGGAUAAUGAACAGAAGAAAAAAAAAAAAUCUCUUUUUCACAGAAAAACACUGGAAACAAUCGUUCCAUAAACAUUUCUGCAGAAAAGCCUCCUUUGCAAAUGGCGCACGAUACAGGAGAGAAAGUAGCUAAAAUAAAAUAGCUAAUCAGAAUUUGAAUGAAUGCUGUGAAAGUAAUAUGGCUCAUGUAAUUACAGAGGGAGUUAAAUAUGCUUUCACAGGGACUGAAUUUGGCUCAUGAAUUCUAAAUGAGCCAGUGGAUGACUUCAAUUAAUAAAACGACAUAAUAAAAUUAUGAAUAAAACUAAAGAAAUUGUAAAGUGGAACACUUUUGUCUACUGUAUUAACUACCCUCUCUAGCAGUUAAUCACAUCCAGUCAAGAAUUUGAGAAACAAAACUCUGACCUUCAGCACUUUGAAGUAAAAAAAUGAUGUAGUACAACAUGAAUCAAAAGAAUGUUUAAAUCGACAGCCGUCCACCAAUUACUACAUCAAUCUCCAAUGCUGUACAUGUGUUACAAUAACUAUAUUGGUUUUCUGCUGAAUUUACGUUGCGAGCAACAAUUGGUUUUAAAAACUGAAGACUGAAAAACCAAUUUUCAAUUAGAAAAAGACAUCUUUAAAAUAUGGGUAACUCUAGUAAUUGCUGCAUAAUAUAAAGAACUACAACUCCGACCCACUCCAAACCAAUGCACUUAAAAAAUACAGAAUGGUCAAAUAGUGCUAGUUUAUGAGACAGCACAGGUACCUACCCAAACUGUCUUAUUUUUACAAAUGCAUUAAUUAAAAAUGUUUGCACCUUAGCAAAGAAAAGCUUCCCCCCCAUUGUUUCGUCUGUCCUCCGUGUAUUUUUGAGAUGAAAAUCAACUGAACCUCAGAAAUUUUAAAAUCUAUUCCAUCUUUCAGAGAAAAAGUUAAUAGCAAAUACUUCAACUCAGUACUAAAGCAGCGUAAGAAAUAUCAACAGACUGCAGGUGUAUUACCUAAGAAGAGCCUCUCAAUACAUUUUUGUUAAAAGAGAAGAGAGAAAAAAAAGAAAACAAAAAAACAUGGUUAUACCUCCUCACAUCAUGUCCACGGCCAGAUACAGCCAUUACCUCCAUGUGCGGUCAGGAGACACGGCUUCCAGCAGUCCUCCAGCUACUCUGCUGUCAACAUUUUAGUACAAAUGAGAUCUCAGAGGAGCUGUUCUGUCCAGACAAGGGACACACCUGUAAGCGGAGGAAAGCAGACCGCACACUGGGGAAGGCAGAGGGCAGCGAGGGCCUGUUCCUUGCUGCUCUGCAAAGCACAGCAGGCCUACACACAUCCGUUGAAGGAAUCUCAAGGUGUUUGCAGCCUUGGUAGCAUCAUGGCUGAUGGUCUCAAGCCAAAGAGUACUAUUUCACUGAUGCUGAGGUCCAUGUCAUAUUCCUUCCUAAGAUAUCCGAUCCCUCAUUACUUUCAGUAGGGGAAAUACCACUUACUGCUCCGUAAAAUGCUCAUUUGCAAGGAGCCAGAGUGAGAUUUCUGACUGGGCCAACUGCAGACUCCCAGAUCAAGAUAUCAGCCAACCACUGCAAAGACAACAGCAGUGUUGAAAACAAAACAGCCAGCGUUUUUUGGAGCUUUCAGCUACACGUGCUUUGAGAUCAGCUCACCGGGUAUAAACUACUGUAAGCCUACCCACCAGAACCAAGCCAAGUAUGAAAGGCACAGUGAGCUUUAAAUGGCUCAGUGCUCAGCAUGAAAAGCACGGGAUCUGUAUCCAAAAUCUAGUGCCAAAUUUAUCAUCUAGGAGCUCAGCAGUAUUUCAUCUUCAUGUAUUCAAAUACCUUGACGUUUUAACGUCUUAAAAUCCUCUUGGCCAAAAGUAUCAUUGAAUAAUUUGCAUGCUACAACACAAUAAAAAGACUGCCAGAAAAUGUAGGUACAUUUUUACUUCCCAAAUAAGAAUAGUUUUGAAUUGUUGUAUAACAACUCUAAUCUCUUCUAAAUUAAAAAAACACAUGAAAAGCUCUGAUAGUUUUAAAUACUUGGGCACUACAUCUACUCAAAAUAGUUUGUUUCAGUGACAUUUUCAGUGCAGUUGUUUCUUACUAUACACAUUCUGAGCAAAUAGUACUGAAAAAGUAAACUAGAGAGGGAAGUUCUUAGUGCAACCACCACAAGCACAGCAAUCACGAUUUCAGUUUUUCAGUGAUUCAAUUCAAUGAUGAAUUUCAGUGAAGUGCAAAGAUGCCAAAAGAAGACCUUAAGUAGCCUGAAAGACAACUCCUUCAACACUGCACUCAACGUCUCUUCCUGCAUCAGCCUCACCUUUUAAAAAAAUGCUGAAUAAAUUGUUUCCAGUCAAAUUAUAGAGGCAGUAGCUAUAUGUUCCUCUCCUAUAACAAUACUAAACUGGGAUUUCAUCAUAAAGAAAGGCAAUGGAAUUCAAGAUGAAGAAGAUAACCCCAAGGCUUAACACAAAAAUUAAAACAAUGCAGAAAAUAUGCAAGAUCGUGGUAAUAUGCAAAGACUAAGUGAAAAUGCUGCAUAAAGUAUUUUAAACAUUCCAGAAGUAAUCUUCAAAUGGUACAGCAAUAUCAAUGAACCAAUACUUCUUAAAAAAACAAAACCAAAAAGCUGAGAAGAACCACCAGAUUUGUAAACUGUAUGGAGUGACAGAAGUGUUAAUUUAUUCAACCUGUAGUUUUCAUGCACAAGUAUUCUUCAUGUUCCCCUGGGUGCUUAUGAGGUUGCUUACUACUAUCUUUUGCUGACACGAUGAAUUAUUCUUUUCUGCAGUAAUGUGAUGAAAGCUAAGUUUAUCAAGUCUAGAUAAAUUACAUCAGAACUUUUGCCAGCUGAAAUUUCUACUGCCUUUGCAGAAAUCUUCCUUCUCUACGUAAAAGUUUUCGAACAGAACAUUUUGAUUAUGUUUUCUUCUGAUCAGCAUUUGCAGUGUUUCCUCCCAUUAAAGGGCAGCUUAUGUGUCUGUAUCUUUUCAGCACACCUUGGAACACACAUAGAAUUGCAUCAGUACUCUGCUGUAAAACAUCAAUUAGUACAGCUGGCUUAGAAGAACCCUUUUCCUUUCUCUCAGAUCAUCGUUUCCCUUUUAUUUUGAAGAGUAGAGGACUGAACAGAUACAACAUAUUAUGGACAACUGCUGUUGUUCCUGUGAUAUGUUGUAGCUUUGAGUUCUAUUUGAUUUUUUCAGACACAAAUCAUCUGUGGCACUUGCCAAGUUACCUUUGACUCUUCCGUUGCUUCCACCUGUGCAAAAGAAGCAGUUAUUUCUCAAUCAAAAGAUGCUUAUCACUUAGCCAAUUUUAAUUUUAAAAGACCUCUGUUGCCUUAAAACCUUCUUGGCUGUAGGUUUUCAAGGAAUUUGAUUUCUUAGUUCUUCUUUCUCACCCUAAGUAUUCAUUUAACUCGAAAGAAUUGAACUAUUUGAAUCCUUGCUUUUUAACUUCACCUCAGGUCCAGAAACAUGAAUGUCAAGAUUACUACUUCAGACAGGUGACAGCUUUCACUUCACAGAUCUAUUGUAAUAUUUUCUUUCUUCAUUAUACACAAUCACAUUCAACAGAAAAUCCCGUACACUAGGCAAGAAUAUGGAUUUCAAAAGCAGCUUAGGCAGUCUGUAUACUUUCUAGUUCUAGUCCGCUGCAUAAAGUCUUUUUUUCUUUGAACAAAACCAUAUUUUAUAGGGUAUAGAAAUGUUGUAAACCCCAAAUUAAGAAAAUCAAUGCAACUCUUAGAAAAAAAAGGAAUAUUUUUCAAAUAUCUCAUUUCACUAUAGUUGGACUUUCAAUUCCAGCUGAUAAGGUCUCUCAAUUCUCAGUUCAGACAAGCACAAUAUUUUACACUACAUAAUUUCAUAUAAAAAGAAAAAAAAAACAGCAAUAUGCAUUCAUUUAUUUCCAAAGUGAGAGAUGCAGAAUGUAUUUCCUUUGACCCAGUUCUACAGCUGUUAUUUAUUUAUUUUGGUUUUCAAUCACUGAAGUUGAGCACAGAAAAUGACCCGAUCCAGCCUAUGUCUGAAUCCUGCAGGAGGACCCCUUGUGCUCAUUCUUCUGAAUUUAAGUGUCUUUUACAUUGUGCAUGGGGAAUGCCAUUCAUUAUGUCUGAUAAAUUACUAAAAUGAAUACACAGCUUAGUCUCUGGUCCUACUAUUAUAACGAUGUAUGGUCAGCUGAAAAAUACAAUCUAUCCACUCAGACAAUUGACAUAGUUAUCAGAGCCAUGCAUGUAGUUCACAAGCUAAUAGUGCAACACCACUGGUCUUUACCCACGCAAGGAGAUCUCUCUUCAAUUUUAAGAGAACCUUCACUACAUGGAAGUGGACACCGCAUUUGAAUGACAUAAAUGACACAGAAGUCUGAGUAACUGGUCAUGUUACCUGUAUGAACAGCAAGCCUCUUGAAUCAAACCACAGAAAGCACAGAAAUACUUCACAAAUGGCGACGGUUCAAUAUAAAUUUUGCUCCAAAACUAAAAAUCACGUUAACAAAUUCUCUCUCUGUGCUGAAUUGAAUAAUUAGAAUUUUUUCCAUGACCAAUCUUAGAAAUACAUGACUAAAACAGGAAAUCCUAUACAUUCUAAGCUCUAUAGACUAUCUACAUAAUUAACUAGCUGAUAUAUCUGCCACACAGUCUAAAGAGGCAACAGCUUUGAAAAAGUGUUUGCUGGACUUAACUCCUCAGGCAUACAUCAGAACAACCGCAGAGGACUAUCACCAAAUUUUGCUUCCAUUGCAAUCAAGGUCACAGUUUCUAUUAACUUUAGACUGAUCAAAAUCAGGAUUUAUGAACUGAAAGAAAUUAUGAGAAAUUUAAAUAGCCUCAAUAAACUACUCAGCAGGAAUACCUUAUAUAAGACAUUAAUUGCCAUAGCAAUUAGGCCCUCUACAGAAUAUAUUUAAAAUAAAAAUUUGAAUUUAUAAAUGCUCAUAAUCAUCCUUGCUAGGCAGUUUCACUAACUCCAUGAGUCAUUUUAUCUUCUAUUCCUUGUAUCUUUACUGGACUCAAAAAACCCAGAUUAAAUCUUAGCUAUUCUAUUUCAGGAAUGUUUACUGUGUAAAUACCCCUGUUCCCAGAAAGAACGCAUGAAGUCAGUGCCCACAUCUUUCCUCAAGACUUAGAGAACAGAUGAAAGGAAAACAGUGAGCCUAACAUUGCACUCCAUCAGAUUCAAGCAGAUCAUUAAGAGAAGCACAGAGUCCUACACAGGAGCAUAUGAGACUGCAAAGAAAAAGGCUGCCCAGCUGUAAGAACAUCAGGUGGCCACGCUACAAAGCAUACAGGGCUCAACGCAGCGCCCAGCACAAUGUGAGCUGCACACUGUACCCUGCUGCCUGCCCUCCUGUAAGAACCAGGCAGACCAGCUAAGCUGCCACUCUCUUGAUGCAGCCACUUAGUAUAAAUACUGAGGUGCUCACUUUGGCUGUAUGAAGAGAGGAAAGAGCUAUUCUCUCUGCCACACAGUGUGACUUUUCAUCACAAAAUAUUUGGGCCAAGACAUAAUUGGAUGCUUUGAAAUGUUCAGCUUCUGUAUAGCACUGUACUUCCGCACACAUAAAAGAAUUAUCACAAACCACAUAAGUGCUAAAUUCAAACCAUCAUGUUAGCGGGUCCUUAAAAAGAAAGGGUGUUCUAAAGAGCAAAUGUGAGACUGACUGUGUUGUACACAGAUGCUGGAUAUGCCCAACAUUUACCUUGAAGACAAACAUAAGCAGCAAUCCCAUUUGUGAGUGACUGACAGCUGUUAAAACAGCUGCUGUGCUGCUUUUUUUGUUUCUUAGUAAAGCCUCCCUCAAGGUGUUUAUUGUAGACAUCUCAUCUUCAGGGCAGUGAUUUUUCAAGUUUGAAGGGUCAGUCACUGAUUCAGUUCAGCAGGCUCUGGUCUGUUCAGCAUUAUUCCCUGACAGCCAUCAAAAUGUGCCAGUAUUGGAAGCUGCUAGAUGUGGGGCCUCCUGCUAAAUGACUUCCUUACACAGAGCCUUGGUACGCACCACUUACAUGCUUUACACACUCACUUAAAAACAUGAUCCUACUCGUUCCUAAGAAUAAUACAUGUGCUGCUCUUAAACUUCAGAAAUUCCUUUAUCUAAAACUAUUUACGACAGCAAUGUAUUGUGGUGUUCUGCUGGCAGCAGAACUGAGAUUACCAGGGAAAGGCAGGGGCAGCACUCAGGACUUCUAUGAUUUUUUUUUCCCCCCAAGUAAAUGGAGAGGCGUCAUGGGAAGUCUGAACUGUACUGAAGGAUACAAUCACAUUUUAUCAAUUAACUUCUUAUUACAACAUGGUAUAUAUAAUUUUGGUCAAAGUACUUCAGAUACAUGGAAAUCCACUCCACUAAGAGGGCAAGGCUGGUGUUUCUGUGUCCAGAUUCUCUUAACACUCAUUCUGACAACACACGUGCUUAUUCUUGCAGCAUUCUUAGCACAGUGUGGAUUUCAUUACACGCAGGAAUCUCAGGAAAAUUUUUCACACUGGAAGUGACUUAUUACAAUUAAGGUUCCAUGAAAACUUAAUUUUGAGACGCUUAUAUUUGUAGCAUCUCAAUAACCUGAAGAUCACAUUAGUUUUGCUCUGGAGAUCCCUGAAGUAUUCUGUGAAAAUAAACUGACCCGAACAUACUUGCCAAGAGACUUUAAUUAUUUUGGUAAUUAUUUGAUGAAUAUCUAUAAAUUGAUUUUUUCUGGGAUUAGCAAAUUGAACUGAUGACUGUUCACUGUUUCACUGGUAGUCAAUUUUAGUCCUAUGUAUUUUAGUUAACAAAUUAACACGUAUCUGUCUACACACACAAACCAUGCUAAAAAAGUACACUGAAGAAAAAAUAUUUUUUAUGAAAACAUACCUGAAUAACACUUAAAAAGGAGCAUUCAUAAAUCAUACAAAGAGCUUUUAGAAGUUCAAGAGAGUUCUUGUAACUGCAGCUUCCAGUACUUCACACGCUGUGCUUAGAAUACAACAUUAAGCUUUCAGGUCAGAGCCUCAUACCGUGUCAGCUGGUGCAGCUCUGCUUAUUGUCAUGGCUUCCUUUCCUUCCCCUUCAGCAGAGAAGCAAUAAUUCACACUGGAUAGGGCUGUAGUCAUUGGUUUCUGAGUGUCAGUUCUGCAAUCUCUUGCAAGAAUAUGAAAGGAUAUGAACGGAUGUCCCUUCUCACCUGCAUUUCUUAUCUAGUAAUUCUCCAAAUCUAGUCUUCUGACACCAGCCCUUACCUAGAAUUCUUCAGAAUCUGUUUUAUGUUGACUUUCACAUCCCUGGAUGAGCUUCCUGAUUUAACUGCUUACCAGCUGAGAGAGGUAUGAGCCAGAAGCAACUGAACAAGAGAAGACACAGAACUGCCCAUUUUCCCUUCAAUCACAAGCACUUUUCAACGUAAAUCUGCACGUAAAAUACCACUUCAUUGACUGAUGGUACUUGUUUAUUAUACAACAGUUAUAAAGUCUGUAAUAAUGCGGUGUUUCAUUUACAGCAAAGAAGCUUCCAAACACUCAGGAGUAGAUUUAAUGCAUGUGACACACUGUCAUCAGUCUGCCUUUAAGAUUACAGGCCUGACUAAACAGCGAUCUUAGACAACACCAUACAUUCAGGCUCAGGCAGGUCCCAGAAUUAGGAAGACAAUUUACUGAAGCCUGGGGCAUGUACUUACUGCAGCUACAAGCAAUCAUCUUUUCUGUGCAAAACUGGGGCACUGCUGGAAAUGGACAUCUCUAAGGUCUGAGCAGAGGCUUUGCUCCUUCCAGUUCAAGAAUUAAAACAGUAUCUUAAUGCCCCAAAAUCCCCAACACCUCACAUGCCCUUUAUGUUUUGUACUGUUCUGCCACAACUUUUGUUCUGUCUUCCAACUUUUUCCUUUACAUUUCUCUCCUCUCACCUUUUCUCUUAUAGUCAGUCCACCUCCCAGUUUUCUCCUGCUUCCCCCUGUCAUCAUAUGAAGCUCCCCUUUCGUCCUCACAUCCCCCCACUGUACCCUCUUUAGCCAAGAACAACUGCAGGUCACUACGCUUUGCCUCUGAACUGUUCUCAUGCAAGACUAGAGCAGGAACCUAUUUAAACUAUUGCUGUUCACUGUAUUACUAUGUUCUCAGUACUGUCUGCAAAAGGUGGAGUAUGGGCUUCAAUAUUAGGUGCACCGUUCCUUUUCUUCUUCACCGAUGGCUUCAGUGAUUUCCUUCUUGUAUGAAAAAUGCUCAAAACAAACAGCAGCCAUCCAUACAAUUACGUAACUAUUACUUGAUCUCACAUACCUCAUCUCACCUUUUUCCCCACACAAGUAAGAGUACAAAAACAUUUGAAAGAAGGUAGUGGAAAGAAAAGGAGGUUACUCCUUACAGCAGCUUAAACAGCAAAGGUGGAAAUGGAUCUUGGCAGGCAGAUAUGUCAAGGCACAUCUAGGUGUAGCAGUGCAAAGCUCUGCACGCUAGCAGUACAUGCUCUUAAACUGCAAGUGAUAGAGCUGCGACAGCAAAGUUUUGCACCAGAGCUAAUAAUGGUUUCACCAAAGCACUGACUCAUGAGACAACAUUCUUAACUGAUCUGUUUUAUAAGAACUGCUAGUUGGGCAAAAUAAUCCCCUUUUUAUAGCAUUUCCCCACUAUUAGAAUAAAGUUAGCAUCUUACCAGUAUCUUUUGUAGUCACUAGUUGGUUCACUAAGAUUGAACACAAUAUUUUUUCAAAUAUUUCCAAUCUGCUAGAGAAAAUGCAAAUGGCUGCAGCUCUGCUUAAACAAGAGAUUCUGUAUGUGCAAUGGAAAUCUCUUAGAAGUAUGUGGAAUAGUUUUUGUUAGAGCUAUCCCUAUUAAUACCAUAAAUUCUCAUGUAGAGAAAGACUGUACUCCUCUUACAAAGUUCUCACUGACUACAUUGAUCUUGCUUGCACAUGGGUUGCUUUUAUGUGAAUUAUUUUUAUUUUCAUUGGUUAUACAGUAGUUAAAUACACAAUAGUAGGAAGGAGAUGAUUAAUUUGGAACUAUGAAAAAAAAAAACACAAUAUUUUCCCUUGACCCCUUCUCCUCUGUCAAUUAUUAGCCACUGUCUCACUUACACAGAUCUUCAUCUGACAUUCAAAGCUAGUUCUUGAUCUGGUGAAUACUAAGCCUAACUAAAGUGACUCUUUGUUGCUAUUGUUGUUUGCCUUUUAGCUGUAAUUACAUUUUCCAAUUGGAUUUCACAAAUACGCCUAUAGUAUGUUGUUAUCACAGAUGAUAUGCCAGGAAGGUGAGGAAUAAUGGCACUGGCUUCUGGGUGAAAUUACACAGCUCCUUAGCUUAUCCUAAUGACCACCUUAAAAACAUGCUGAAGGUAAAAAGUGUUUACUUCAUAAGUGUGUGACAAAUAAGGCACAGCCCAUGUAGUCAAUGAGUCUGAUGGAUUGGAUUUUUAGAUAUUUCAGUCCUCACAAUUCAUAAUUUACUCAAGCAUGAUGCCACUGGGGAUCAAUAUUAAAGGUCCUCAGUGAAGGAAGUCAUUACAAAACACAAUUACAGCAUGUGUAACUUGGCAAGAAAGGACAGAAUUCAUCUGCAAUUCACCAAAUCCAUGUUUUCAGCUCACUAGGAUAUCCAGGUAGAGGGAAAAAGAUUAUUGUUUGUCCUAUGCUUAUAUCUUAAAUGUUAGGAUGAUUUAUUUACUGUGUAGUCAAAUCACACAACUGACAAUUCCAUGGGUAAAACCACAUUAUUUAAUGUCAAUAGGGAUCCUUUUGAGAAAGCAAAUAUAAAAGGCAGUUAGAGCAAAAAAUGAUUCAGACUGGAGGCACUUCUCAGAAUCUUCAAUCACUCUCACAAAUAUGUUUUCUAUGUGUCAUUUUUGCAUAUGUUACUUUCCAGAGUUAUACAAUUUGUAUUUCUAUCUUUGACAAGCACAUUCUAGACUAUACAAAACGUUAUUUCUACUGUCAUAUUUGCCUAGAAACACUUCUACCUAUGCCCAGACACUUGGCUGCUUGGGGAGAUACCAUAUCUUUAACCUUCCGUUUUCUAAGUUAAUAAAUACAGCUGUUGUGCAAGACAAUAGAAAGAAUUCAGAACACAUUAGAAUCAUUUCAUUGUUCCAGCCUGACCACUCUGUAGGGCCUUCCUACCUUCAGGCAAAUCGACAUUUCCCCCAACUUGGUGUUGUCUACAAACUUACUGAUGGUGCACACAAUCCCCUCAUGCAGAUAAGCAAUCAAGAUAUUAAGCAGGAUGUGCCCCAGUACCAACCCCUGGGGAACACCACUUGUGACCAGUCACCACCUGGAUUUAACACCACACAGCCACCACUCUCUGGGCCCAGCGCUCCAAUCAGUUCUUCACCCAGCAAAGAGUGUACGUGUCCAAGCCACAGGCUGCCAACUUCCCCAGGAGAAUACUCUGGGAGAUAGUGUCAAAGGCUUUGCUGAAGUCCAGGUAGACUACAUCAACAGCCUUUCCCUCAUCGACCAGUUGGGACAGCUGGUCAUAGAAGAUCAGGUUGGUCAGGCAGGACCUUCCCUGGCACUGAGGUCAGGCUGACAGACCUGUAGUUCCCCAGUUCCUCCUUACAGUCCUUCUUAUAGACAGGAGUCGCAUUAGCAAGUCUCCAGUCAUCUGGGACCUCUCCAGCUUACCAGGAAGAGUAAAAGGACAACAGCAGAGAAAGAACAAAGGAACUUUUAAAGAAGAGAUUUGACAAGAAUGGGGUCUGGUUUUUGACACAGCUGUAUAGUGUGAAGAAGUUGGCUGAACAUUUCAGAUUUAUGAAAAUGACACAAUAAAUACAUCAAGAGAAAACAUUGCUUCAGAUAACAUAUAAAUAAACUAUGAAUAUGUUCAUGGAUGCACAUAAAGCAUUUUAAAAUGCAUUGUUUCAUUCAUACAACACUUAGUUUAAGAAAUGAAUGAUUUGUUUACCAACAAAUACAGGUCAAUGUUGGCUUUACUAUUUCUUAAAUUCUUUCAAAAUGAAUAAACAAACUUCUUUGUCAAAGUGCUAAUAGAUUCUCAACUUAGAGCAGAAUUAAUGUUCUAGAUUUCUGUAAAAGAGACACUAAAGAGCAUAAGGAGGUACUGUUACAGGAAGACCGUGACAGGUACAAGAAGGUUCUUCUUACACACUCUACAAAAAGCAGCAGCAACAUAUGACAUCAUUAAACAAACUAACCUGUGGCGUCAUUCCAUGGCAGAUAUACAUGAUUGGGAUAUUCUCUGUGUCUGGUCCUUGAUCAAGGCACAAAUCAUUUUUCAAGGAAUUCUGCAGCUAAAAUAAACAAAAAGAGAUCAAGCAAGUUUCAAGCAGGACCAGAAAAAAAAUGUUAUGAUUACAUUAUUUUCUUUGAAAUAAAAUUGUAUGUAUUUACAAUAAGCAAAAGUAAAAAUAGUUGUUGAAGUGAAUCUAUUUAAAGAAAAAGUACCCGGACUAAGUAUUUCCUUGUAGAUUAUCUAACAUUACUAAUUUCAAUAAUGCUUCACAAGAUUUCAGGGAGCAUCAAAAAGCCUUCAGAGAGCAAUAAUUUUUAUGGAGAAAAAUUGUUUAUAUAAAGUCUCUAUGUAAAUAUUAAGUGUUCUUCUUAAGGUACACUCUGUAUAUGAAGGCUUUUUAUUUUAUUUUUUAAACCAGUGUGCAGGUAACUGAGCUGUAUAGCUAUAGUUUUAAACACACCAAUAAAACUGCUUUUUAGAGAAUCUCAGGAGAGUCUUCUAGGUUCUGGAAAUAAUUCAAAUAUCCCCUUCCGCUGACAAUUAGAGACCAAUGGCCAAUAGGUAUGCAUUAGGUCUUCUUUGCAUUACUCAGGGCUAACCCAUCCACAGCAAUCCAGCUAUGAAAGGACUGCACACUACUAAUCCCUAUAUAUUAUCUAGUCAAUGCUGAGACAGAAUUUUCUGUAAGCUAAGUGCCAAAUUAAUGAGCACAGAUAGCUAAAAGGUCUCUGUAGUCUGUGAUGCCAAAGAUGUGGGUUGUAAAUCCACAGGCACAUAUGAAGAUGUUCGGUGGUAUAAGAGAGGUUCAGAGAACACAAAAGAAUCGUCUAAUGGAGUCUGAGACUAAAUAAGCAGUGCUGCCAGGUGUGUACAGGGACCUCCUUUGAGAAGGACAACUUGAUAUGCUUAGAAAGUAAAUCUAGAAAGUGCACUGGUAGGUAAGAACCAUGGACAAGCCAGAGACUUAAGUCAGGCAGUGAAUAUAUUUAACAACAUAAACUCAUCUUCCAAAGAAUUCCAGAUCUUAACUCUGAACCUACUAACUUCAGUAACAGACAAGACAAAUGUUAAUAUUAAAGAGAAAAUAGGCAUUUGGGAUUAAAAAGUGACUGGAAAAAGGGAAAUAUCACACCCGGUUUUCAAAAAAGUAGAGAGAAAGACCACGAGAACUGCCCACCAGUCAGCCUCACCAUGGGAACCCCUGGCAUUUAAAAAAGGCCAAGUGCAAGGUCCUGCACACGGGCUGGGAAGCUGCAAACAUCAGACUGGAAGAUGAAUGGAUGGAGAGCAGCUCUGAAGAGAAGGUCUGGGAGGUACUGGUGGAUGAAAAACUUGGACAUGAGUUGGCAGUGUGUGUGCUUGCAGCACAGAAAGCCAGCUGUAUCCUGGGCUGCAUCAAAACAAAUGUAACGAGCAGAUCCAGAGGGAUGAUCCUCUGCCUCUGCGCCUCAUGACGCCUCACCUGGAGUUAUUCCCCCAUCCCUGCAGGUGUCCAAGGCCAGCCUGGAUGGGGCUACUGACAACCUGAUCUAGUGGGAGGUGUACAAAGUCACAAGACUCUUAGAAAUCAUCCCUUUCCGAAAUCUAAUGUCUGUGUGGAAACUCAAAAUUAACUUCUGCAAUGUGGUUUUAGAUUACCAAGGCUUAAUUCUAAUUAUACAGCAAAAUAUAACCAGGUCACCAAUCCAUUGAGACGUAAGGAGAAAAAAAUCCAUAAAUAAUUAGUCAUUAUUGCCAUUUGCUCCCUUUUAAACAUACAGCCUUACAGUACACAGAGACAGGCUACUGAAACUCUGCAUUUGCAAAGUUAUUUCAAACGCAAAGCCAGAAUCAAGGAACCACCCUGUGCUAAAUGAGCUUUUGGCUCCACUGACAUUCUUUUUUACUAACUCUGAGGGUAUGGCAGAAUUCAUAAAUCCUCUUACCUUUGACUGUCAAACCAUUAUUUCAGCAGCAACAUUGUAUGAUAUUUUUUUCCUGACACAAGAAGUUCUAGAUUUUUUCUAAUUAUGUCAGAUCUGCAUAAUCUAGCAAGAAAAUGGGCUCUGGGAGCUUUAAUUUCCCAAAACCUAACCUUAACCUCUGAAAUAACAAGGAGACAAAUCCAUGUGCUUAGAGCAAACAAAUUAUCUUCCUCUACAGACACAGUAUGCUGUUGACUUUCUGGAAAUGCCCCACACAACUAUUCCCGUGAGCUCUGGGACUGGUAUCCCAGUGGAUGUUUCAUGUGAAAUAGUUGAAAAUAACAGCAAUACACAUGCAUCAUAAAAUAUACAUAUAUAUAUGUAUAUUAUAUAUAUAUGUAUCACCAAUCAAAAGCACCCUACAAUGUUUUUAAACGAAAGGCUACAUACAUAUAAACCAUAGAUAUUUAAGGCUUUCUGUGCAUAAUGCUGUCUUAUCAUAUUUGGCAUAAUUACCUACUGCAUGUAUAGCCUAAUGUCAUGCUAGUGUACUGCAAUACCUGAUUUCAGUGUUUUUGAGUUACACAAGAGGAAAAUGUCACCAUUUUAACUUUUUGUUUCCCGAUGAUCAAGCAGUGCCCAUUCAGAUGGCUUUUGUAGCUUAUCAGCAUUUUAAAACUAAUACUGGUGUUUCUAAAAAAGAUUAAGACAGUUCACGAAUAGAUGCACUGAUGAGAAUCAGCAAGCAGAGCAGCAGACUUGCUUUGAAAUAUCACUCCUUUUCCGUGAUAAGACUUGGUAAAAACAGGAAAGCAGACAUGAAGGAAGAUGAGAGAUGUGAACAACUCUUUUAUUAUAAAGAUUUGGGCACUGCAUUUUUUAUUUCAUGUAACAGCGUUUCAUAAAACAGCAAUGUCUUUCAUAAAACACUCUACCUGUACCAAAACAUUGCCACAGCUGCUCACUAUUUCAUUUGUGAUAAGACAAAUAAUGAAAUCCAGCCUACUCCUCACAUGAUAUUUAGUUGAUGAGAAUACUGAUGGAUUGCAGACAGAAGACUGGAUCAUGUGCAUCAUUAUGCAGUAACUAAAUAUGCAUUUUCCGCUGACCAGUGACUUCAGUACUUCUGUAAUGAACUCUCCUGCUUCUUUUUGGUUUGCAUGUUACCAGCAAAUAACUUUCAAAGGCUGCUGAAAAAGUCUCAGCAGAAGAUAAGAUCAUACAGUGCCUACUUGCUGACUUCCAUUUUGAUUUAGAUGCUGCUGAAUUAAUUCUAAGACUCUCCAACAAGUACCUUAGCUAUUCCACACCCAUAAGCAGAUCCACACAUCUAUCAGCAGCUAUGCUUCUUUCUCCUUAGGCCACUCUGUAUCACCAUCUACUGAUCAUGGUACUGCUGAGGGUAACUCCAUGCAGUCUGUGGAAGAGGUUCCUUGCAGACAGGUCUGAUUUUGACAUUAUUCUGAGCUAUUUUGGAAAGCAACCAUUAUCUCAUGCAUUUAACAAUGACGUAAAUCAUUGUUGGAAGCGUUUUUCUGUUAAUUUUGGACUGUGUUGAAAGCCAGCAUUAUUUCAAUUGAUCAUCAAAGGCAUCACUGAACUUUGUGGGGCACAUAAUCACUUCAUUUGCUAUAAAAGAGUGGCUGCUCUUUCAUAUGGACUCUCAAGGGACUUCUUUUUGCCGAGGAAUGUCUUAAAAUCUUUCACUUGUAUCUAAUGUAAUUACUAAGAGUUAUAUUUCCUAUCUGGGACUUCCAUACAAAACAAAUUAACAAAAAAAAACACACAGCAAAUGUAAUUCAUAGAAAUGAAUUUUUGUGAAUAUAACACUGAAUAGAGAAUGUGAAAAGGAUGUCCUUGCUCUACUCGCUUAUUAUGCACCCGUAUUAACUUUCUAUACUCAUCUUCCAUGUCAUGUACACCUGUUCUAUUU